UACGGAGGAUGCGAGCGUUAUCCGGAUUUAUUGGGUUUAAAGGGUGCGUAGGCGGGCUUUUAAGUCAGCGGUAAAAAUUCGGGGCUCAACCCCGUCCGGCCGUUGAAACUGGGGGCCUUGAGUGGGCGAGAAGAAGGCGGAAUGCGUGGUGUAGCGGUGAAAUGCAUAGAUAUCACGCAGAACCCCGAUUGCGAGGGCAGCCUUCCGGCGCCCUACUGACGCUGAGGCACGAAAGUGCGGGGAUUGAACAGG
rnacentral:rRNA from 1 species